UACGAAGGUGGCAAGCGUUGUUCGGAUUUACUGGGCGUACAGGGAGCGUAGGCGGUUUGGUAAGCCCUCCGUGAAAUCUUCGGGCUCAACCCGGAAAGUUCAGAGGGGACUGCCAGGCUAGAGGACGGGAGAGGAGCGCGGAAUUCCCGGUGUAGCGGUGAAAUGCGUAGAGAUCGGGAGGAAGGCCGGUGGCGAAGGCGGCGCUCUGGAACGUUUCUGACGCUGAGGCUCGAAAGCGUGGGGAGCAAACAGGAUUAGAAACCCGUGUAGU
rnacentral:rRNA from 1 species